rnacentral:rRNA from 1 species
GUGUCAGCAGCCGCGGUAAUACGUAGGGUGCAAGCGUUGUCCGGAAUUAUUGGGCGUAAAGAGCUCGUAGGCGGUUUGUCGCGUCUGCUGUGAAAACGCGAGGCUCAACCUCGCGCCUGCAGUGGGUACGGGCAGACUAGAGUGCGGUAGGGGAGAUUGGAAUUCCUGGUGUAGCGGUGGAAUGCGCAGAUAUCAGGAGGAACACCGAUGGCGAAGGCAGAUCUCUGGGCCGUAACUGACGCUGAGGAGCGAAAGCGUGGGGAGCGAACAGGAUUAGAUACCCUGGUAGUCCACGCCGUAAACGUUGGGAACUAGAUGUAGGGACCAUUCCACGGUUUCUGUGUCGCAGCUAACGCAUUAAGUUCCCCGCCUGGGGAGUACGGUCGCAAGACUAAA